GAUGAACGCUGGCGGCGUGCCUAAUACAUGCAAGUAGAACGCUGAAGCUUGGUGCUUGCACCGAGCGGAAGAGUUGCGAACGGGUGAGUAACGCGUAGGUAACCUGCCUCUUAGCGGGGGAUAACUAUUGGAAACGAUAGCUAAUACCGCAUAAAAGUCGACAUUGCAUGAUGUUGACUUGAAAGGUGCAAAUGCAUCACUAAGAGAUGGACCUGCGUUGUAUUAGCUAGUUGGUGAGAUAACGGCUCACCAAGGCGACGAUACAUAGCCGACCUGAGAGGGUGAUCGGCCACACUGGGACUGAGACACGGCCCAGACUCCUACGGGAGGCAGCAGUAGGGGAUCUUCGGCAAUGGACGGAAGUCUGACCGAGCAACGCCGCGUGAGUGAAGAAGGUUUUCGGAUCGUAAAGCUCUGUUGUAAGAGAAGAACGAGUGUGAGAGUGGAAAGUUCACACUGUGACGGUAACUUACCAGAAAGGGACGGCUAACUACGUGCCAGCAGCCGCGGUAAUACGUAGGUCCCGAGCGUUAUCCGGAUUUAUUGGGCGUAAAGCGAGCGCAGGCGGUUAGAUAAGUCUGAAGUUAAAGGCUGUGGCUUAACCAUAGUACGCUUUGGAAACUGUUUAACUUGAGUGCAGAAGGGGAGAGUGGAAUUCCAUGUGUAGCGGUGAAAUGCGUAGAUAUAUGGAGGAACACCGGUGGCGAAAGCGGCUCUCUGGUCUGUAACUGACGCUGAGGCUCGAAAGCGUGGGGAGCAAACAGG
rnacentral:rRNA from 1 species